UUUCCGUAGGUGAACCUGCGGAAGGAUCAUCAACAAAUCCAAACCCUGUUUUUCUCGACACCUGUGUGAACCUUGAAAUCACGAUACAAAACAUGUAAAAAGAUCAACAUAGGAAACGAAGACUUGUUUUUUGUUUUCUGAUUUUCUUAAUGUGUGAUUUCAAACUUUUUUUCCAAACCCUUGAUUGUUUUUUCUGACUGAUUCUGUUUUUUUCUUUUUUCUUUUUGCUUGCAAAAAGAAAGAAAUCAAACAAAAAACAACUUUUAACAAUGGAUCUCUUGGUUCUC
rnacentral:misc_RNA from 1 species